rnacentral:rRNA from 1 species
CCUACGGGAGGCAGCAGUGAGGAAUAUUGGUCAAUGGGCGAGAGCCUGAACCAGCCAAGUCGCGUGAGGGAAGACGGUCCUAUGGAUUGUAAACCUCUUUUGUCGGGGAGCAAAAAGGCCUCCUGAGGCCACAAGUGAGAGUACCCGAAGAAAAAGCAUCGGCUAACUCCGUGCCAGCAGCCGCGGUAAUACGGAGGGUGCGAGCGUUAAUCGGAAUUACUGGGGGUAAAGCGCUCGUAGGCGGUAUGUAAAGUCAAGGGUAAAAUCCCCGGGCUAAACGUGGGAACUGCGUUGAAAACGGCAAACUGGAGUGUGUGAGAGGAUAGGGGAAUUCCAGGUGUAGGAGUGAAAUCCGUAGAUAUCUGGAGGAACAUCAGUGGCGAAGGCGACUAUCUGGCACAUAACUGACGCUGAGGAGCGAAAGCGUGGGUAGCAAACAGGAUUAGAUACCCCAGUAGUC